ACAGAGGGGGCAAGCGUUAUUCGGAAUUAUUGGGCGUAAAGGGCGCGUAGGCGGUGUUUUAAGUGAGAUGUGUAAUCCCCGAGCUUAACUUGGGAACUGCAUCUCAGACUGGAGCGCUAGAGUACUGGAGAGGGUGGUAGAAUUCCACGUGUAGCGGUGAAAUGCGUAGAGAUGUGGAGGAAUGCCGGUGAGGGUGGCGGCCGCCUGGACAGUAACUGACGCUGAUGCGCUUAAGUGUGGGUACCAAACAG
rnacentral:rRNA from 1 species